AAGCAAACAGAUAGGAGACUGCACAUUCAUGUUUUUCCCCCUUGUGCUACAGGUGAUGGCUGGUCGCGGUUCAUCAGCGUUUGUUUUGAAACUGAUGGGUACCACAAGGCAUGAAGGAGGUGACUUGCAGCAGCAAGACACUGCAAGCCUUCGCAGCAACUGGCUAGCCAGUGCUGCUCUGUUCUGAACUGCACUACGUGUCAUGCGGAGGUUUUGUGCAAGCUCUCUGAGCGGCGACGCUAGCCACGAUUGGCUUCGUGGAUGCACAGAAAUACUCAAGGCGCUUGACGUCUGUGGCUCAUCUGUAUUGUUUUUCCCGGUACCACGGCAUGAAGGAGCUGGCCUCCCUCCCUUCCAUCAGCUGCGAGAUACUACAAGCACUGGGCUACAGCUGCAGCUAGCCCAUGGGUACCGUUCUGCGUCCUGUACUGCAUCUAGUUCGAAAGGCCAUGUGAAAGGCAGGUACCGGGGACCAUGACAUCAGUGAGCUGGCUUUCACCUUGUCCAAGGCAGCAGCGGAACACUACGGGCGGGACCCUGGAUCACUGCACCAUGGAUGCCGUCCUGUACCCUGCACGGCACUGCGUGUGGCUUAAGUGGCCAAGCAGAGGGUCAUUGCAUGACUUUUAUGAGGCGCCGCUAGCCAUUGUUUCAAACCGUCCUGAAUCACGGACCAAGCCUUGCAAGACCUCACUCUUAUGCCCUCUCCUUUUUGGUGGAUCGGGUCUUGCCAUCUUCCCCUCUCGUGGCUCCCUGUCAUAAAUAAAUUGUAUAUUUUUCUGA
rnacentral:lncRNA from 1 species